AGAGUUUGAUCCUGGCUCAGAAUCAACGCUGGCGGCGUGCCUCACACAUGCAAGUCGAACGAGAAAGUGUAGCAAUACAUGAGUACAGUGGCGACCGGGUGAGUAACACGUGACUAACCUUCCCAUAACUGGUGAAUAGCCCUCCGAAAGGAGGAUUAAUACACCGUAACAUAAUGAAGUGGCAUCACUUUAUUAUUAUAGGCUUCGGCCGGUUUUGGAUGGCGUGCGCCUGAUUAGGUAGUUGGCGGGGUAACGGCCCACCAAGCCUGCGAUCAGUAACUGGUGUGAGAGCACGACCAGUCACACGGGCACUGAGACACGGGCCCGACUCCUACGGGAGGCAGCAGUAAGGAAUAUUGGUCAAUGGACGAAAGUCUGAACCAGCCAUGCCGCGUGAAGGAUUAAGGCCCUCUGGGUUGUAAACUUCUUUUAUAUGGGACGAAAAAAGGGUAUUCUACUCACUGACGUACCAUAGAAUAGCCCCCACC
rnacentral:rRNA from 1 species